AUGGUGCUCUCCCGGGACGCCUCAGACACCGACGUGUCGGUGCACUCCACGUUCGCCUCGCGCUAUGUUCGGUCGUCUCUCCCGAGGUACCGUAUGCCGGAGAAGUCGAUCCCCAAGGAGGCGGCGUACCAGAUCAUCAACGACGAGCUGAUGCUCGACGGCAACCCCCGGCUGAACCUGGCGUCGUUCGUGACGACGUGGAUGGAGCGCGAGUGCGACAAGCUCAUCAUGGCCUCCAUAAACAAGAACUACGUGGACAUGGACGAGUACCCCGUCACCACCGAGCUCCAGAACCGGUGCGUGAACAUGAUCGCGCAUCUCUUCCACGCGCCGCUGGGCGAGUCGGAGACGGCCGUGGGCGUGGGCACGGUGGGAUCGUCGGAGGCCAUCAUGCUGGCGGGGCUGGCCUUCAAGAGGAAGUGGCAGAACAGGCGCAAGGCCGAGGGCAAGCCGUUCGACAAGCCCAACAUCGUCACAGGCGCCAACGUCCAAGUCUGCUGGGAGAAGUUCGCCAGGUACUUCGAGGUGGAGCUCAAGGAGGUGAAGCUGCGGGAGGGGUACUACGUGAUGGACCCGGAGCAGGCGGUGGCGAUGGUGGACGAGAACACCAUCUGCGUGGCGGCGAUCAUUGGCUCCACGCUCAACGGCGAGUUCGAGGACGUGAAGCGCAUCAACGACCUGCUCGAAGAGAAGAACAAGGAGACCGGGUGGGAGACGGCGAUCCACGUGGACGCGGCGAGCGGCGGGUUCAUCGCGCCGUUCCUGUACCCGGAGCUGGAGUGGGACUUCCGGCUGCCGUGGGUGAAGAGCAUCAACGUCAGCGGCCACAAGUACGGCCUCGUCUACCCCGGCAUCGGGCAUCGGCUGGUGCGUCUGGCGCGGCAAGGACGACCUGCCGGACGACCUCGUCUUCCACAUCAACUACCUCGGCACCGACCAGCCCACCUUCACGCUCAACUUCUCCAAGGGGGUACAAGAAGAUCAUGGAGAACUGCCAGGAGAAUGCCAUGGUGA
rnacentral:rRNA from 1 species